UAAGCAUAUCAAUAAGCGGAGGAAAAGAAACCAACAGGGAUUGCCCCAGUAACGGCGAGUGAAGCGGCAACAGCUCAAAUUUGAAAUCUGGCCCCUCGGGGUCCGAGUUGUAAUUUGUAGAGGAUGCUUUUGGUGAGGUGCCGCCCGAGUUCCCUGGAACGGGACGCCACAGAGGGUGAGAGCCCCGUCUGGCUGGCCACCGAGCCUCUGUAAAGCUCCUUCGACGAGUCGAGUAGUUUGGGAAUGCUGCUCAAAAUGGGAGGUAUAUGUCUUCUAAAGCUAAAUAUUGGCCAGAGACCGAUAGCGCACAAGUAGAGUGAUCGAAAGAUGAAAAGCACCUUGAAAAGAGGGUUAAAUAGUACGUGAAAUUGUUGAAAGGGAAGCGCUUGUGACCAGACUUGGGCGCGGCGGAUCAUCCGGGGUUCUCUCCGGUGCACUUCGCCGCGUCUAGGCCAGCAUCAGUUCGUCGCGGGGGAAAAAGGUUUCGGGAACGUGGCUCCUCCGGGAGUGUUAUAGCCCGUUGCAUAAUACCCUGCGGUGGACUGAGGACCGCGCAUCUGCAAGGAUGCUGGCGUAAU
rnacentral:rRNA from 1 species